UCAAAAAUAACCGCCCGCACGACCUCUCGCCCCCUCCUCCUCCCGCGCCGUUCUCCGCCCCACUGUUCCUCCCGCGGAGCCGCCCGCCGCGCCCUUCGCCGCGGUAGCUGCCGCCGGAGCCACCCAUCGCGCCCUUUUCCGCGGGAGCCGCCGCAGGUCAUUGCGGGAGUAUUCUCGGGAGCCGCUGCGGGAGCCGCCUGUCGCGCCCUUCGCUGCGGUAGUCGCCGCCGGAGCCGUCCGCAAUAGGCGUCGUUGGCAUGCCACCAGAGGCCCGAUCUGGGCGAGAGGAACCAUCGCCUCGCUCCUUCGAUGCCGGGUCGGGAUCCGCUGGCUCGGAUCUACGGAUGUUCCUCCUCCGGUUAGCCGUGCCAGAGCCCUCCUCCUCCCUUCUCUCUCCCUCUCCUCACUAAUCUCUCUUCCUCUCUCCAUUCCCGUGCUGCAGGACACCAUGGCCAUAGACCAAGCUCCGCCAGACCUUCCCUCGCGACUGUCGGCCUUCCUCUAGACAACAACGGCGAUGCCCAGGUCUGCCCCGCCGCCAUUCGUUUCUGCCUUGCCUAGCCGCACUGCGUAUCCAGACCACCUCCCCAGAUAGCGCCGCCGUCGUCCCUAAGGCGGCGCCGGUCUCGGCCGCGGCGCAGGAGGUGCUGCCGUCGCCGUCCAUGUUGUCAUCUGGCUGGACCAUCGAGGAUCUCCUGCAGUUCUCCGUAGGAACACCGAUCAUGUAUCACAAAUCAAUCAGGAAAAAGAAAAGUGAGGUGCAACUCAAGCAAAUAAACGGUACAAGAAUGAAGAAGCUAGGUGCAACAAGGUGAUCGAGCAGGUUGCUAAGCUUUGCAAUUCCGGGGCAUGUGGCACUAAUUAUUCGGUGGGUUGGGCGCAACAUGGCACUCAGCAGCCCAUAGGAAAGAAAUGGUUCUCUAAGUUGGGAUGGUGUUGUGAUUAAUUGUUGGCUUGUUGCCAUCAGAUUUACCUACAUGAAGAAAUGCAUGGUGCAGAUGGUGUUACUUGCUAUUCUAGGUGUGGUGAUCUCAACAUUUUUGCUUGACGCUGCUAUAAGCUUACUUUUCCAUAUGCCUGGAACUGGAAAACAUUGUUGUUGUUCAGUGGACGCUUAGUGCAACCGGUGAUGUUACUAUCAUUGCUCUUCUGAAAGACCUAGGCGCAAGCAACAAUUUCAGUAUGAUAAUCAAAGGAGAAUCCUUAAUGAACGACGGUGUUGCUCUGGGCCUUGUAUUGGAAUUGCAUCUCUACUAUGGAUGGGCUAUAUUUUCGAUGAUACAAUCAUACAGAUUUCACUUACCCUCGCAGUCAGAUAUAUUGCUUUCUUCACUGUAAGAUAAUCAGAUAACAGACAUAUCGAGGCUCUUACAUGUCUAUUUUUAUCUCUAGAAGUACAUGAUUUGCUCAGUGUUUUGAAAUGGUUUAUAGCUCCAGUAAUAGAAUGGUUGUCAAGCAACCCUUUUUGCAACACUGGGAUGCUGUUUUAAUGGCUUGUGAUGGCAAUCCAGGGUCAUUUCUGGAUGCAUUCAUGUGUGCCGAUGAGGUACCCAUGUACUCAUGUAAUAUUAAAUUUUUUAUGUUGUCAUUUUCUUACCCUGGCAGUACGACUAUGUAUAAGGUACUCUGAGACUGCUAGAAAAGCAUCUUUGCUUUUAACUAUUUCCCCAUGAAAGUAUGUACUAUUUAUCUCUGAUAUUGUGUGUUGAUCAUUGAACAACUUAAUAAUUUUAAGUAAUGACUCUGGAUAAAGAUGACAAAGCAGAGAACAUAAUCUUGGUGAAGGCAUCGCAACGGAGAUGGGACGGUGUUAAUCUUCAAUCAGUAUUACAUAUUAGUGAUCUUGAAUGCAUGUUUUUCAUAGUUUACUAUGUGUGCAUGAUUGGGAGUAGGUGCUUCUUGGAAAAUAAUAUUGAUUGUCUUAUCAUUUCAUUUUCUCAUUAUAUAUUUUUUGUAUUGGUCAAGACGUGCAUUGCACGUGCAAGCUUACUAGUUACACUCCAAGUUGACGGCUGAGUGACCGAACGGAAAUCUCCAUGAGACUAGUCACAGUGGGGAAUAACUUAGAGUAGUCACAGUGUGUAUUAACAGUUAUACAUCACUUUAUUUAUUAGCCUAUAGACUCAUCUUUUUUGAUAUAUGUGAUGUUACAGUAACUAGCUAUGUUACUA